AUUGAACGCUGGCGGCAUGCUUUACACAUGCAAGUCGAACGGCAGCGCGGGCUUCGGCCUGGCGGCGAGUGGCGAACGGGUGAGUAAUGCAUCGGAACGUGCCCAGUAGUGGGGGAUAGCCCGGCGAAAGCCGGAUUAAUACCGCAUACGACCUGAGGGUGAAAGCGGGGGACCGAAAGGCCUCGCGCUAUUGGAGCGGCCGAUGUCGGAUUAGCUAGUUGGUGGGGUAAAGGCUUACCAAGGCGACGAUCCGUAGCUGGUCUGAGAGGACGACCAGCCACACUGGGACUGAGACACGGCCCAGACUCCUACGGGAGGCAGCAGUGGGGAAUUUUGGACAAUGGGGGCAACCCUGAUCCAGCCAUGCCGCGUGCGGGAAGAAGGCCUUCGGGUUGUAAACCGCUUUUGUUCGGGAAGAAAUCCUCUGGGCUAAUACCCCGGGGGGAUGACGGUACCGGAAGAAGAAGCACCGGCUAACUACGUG
rnacentral:rRNA from 1 species